rnacentral:lncRNA from 1 species
CUCUUUAAAUGCAAUCGUACGAUCAAGAUCAAAUCGCGAUGAAUGGUCCAUAUUCAUUUUCUCUUUAAACGCGAUCAGACGGUCGAGAUCAAAUGCGAUGAAUAGUCCAGAUUUAAGGAAUGCGGGUAUAAAUAUCUCACUUUACACCGAACCUAAACCCUAACCGCUAGCCCUCAACCGAAGAAUAACAGCCAAUCGCCGGAGAAAGGAGCCGACCGCCGCCCCCCGUCGCGUCAGAGCCACUUCUGACUGCCAAAAAAGGUAAAAAUUCUCCAAUUCGCUCGAAAUUUGAU